rnacentral:misc_RNA from 1 species
GAAAUGCGAUAAGUAGUGUGAAUUGCAGAAUUCAGUGAAUCAUCGAAUCUUUGAACGCACAUUGCGCCCCUUGGUAUUCCAUGGGGCAUGCCUGUUCGAGCGUCAUUUGUACCCUCAAGAUCUGCUUGGUGUUGGGUGUUUGUCCCCGUCUCCGCGCGUGGACUCGCCCCAAAGUGAUUGGCAGCCGGCGUACUGGUCCCGGAGCGCAGCACAUGUCGCACAAACGAGUGCCUUGGUACGGCGGCGUCCAUAAGCCCCUCUCUCACGCUCUUGACCUCGGAUCAGGUAGGGAUACCCGCUGAACUUAAGC